rnacentral:rRNA from 1 species
CGGAAUAGCUCCGGGAAACUGGAAUUAAUACCGCAUACGCCCUACGGGGGAAAGAUUUAUCGGGGAAGGAUUGGCCCGCGUUGGAUUAGCUAGUUGGUGGGGUAAAGGCCUACCAAGGCGACGAUCCAUAGCUGGUCUGAGAGGAUGAUCAGCCACAUUGGGACUGAGACACGGCCCAAACUCCUACGGGAGGCAGCAGUGGGGAAUAUUGGACAAUGGGCGCAAGCCUGAUCCAGCCAUGCCGCGUGAGUGAUGAAGGCCUUAGGGUUGUAAAGCUCUUUCACCGAUGAAGAUAAUGACGGUAGUCGGAGAAGAAGCCCCGGCUAACUUCGUGCCAGCAGCCGCGGUAAUACGAAGGGGGCUAGCGUUGUUCGGAAUUACUGGGCGUAAAGCGCACGUAGGCGGAUAUUUAAGUCAGGGGUGAAAUCCCGCAGCUCAACUGCGGAACUGCCUUUGAUACUGGGUAUCUUGAGUAUGGAAGAGGUAAGUGGAAUUCCGAGUGUAGAGGUGAAAUUCGUAGAUAUUCGGAGGAACACCAGUGGCGAAGGCGGCU